rnacentral:rRNA from 1 species
CCCAGACUCCUACGGGAGGCAGCAGUGGGGGAUAUUGCACAAUGGGGGGAACCCUGAUGCAGCGACGCCGCGUGAGUGAAGAAGUAUCUCGGUAUGUAAAGCUCUAUCGGCAGGGGAGAAAAAUGACAGUACCUGACUAAGAAGCCCCGGCUAACUACGUGCCAGCAGCCGCGGUAAUACGUAGGGGGCAAGCGUUAUCCGGAUUUACUGGGUGUAAAGGGAGCGUAGACGGCGAUGCAAGUCUGAAGUGAAAGGCGGGGGCCCAACCCCCGGACUGCUUUGGAAACUGUAUAGCUGGAGUGCAGGAGAGGUAAGUGGAAUUCCUAGUGUAGCGGUGAAAUGCGUAGAUAUUAGGAGGAACACCAGUGGCGAAGGCGGCUUACUGGACUGUAACUGACGUUGAGGCUCGAAAGCGUGGGGAGCAAACAGGAUUAGAUCCCCCUGUA